GAUGAAGAAACGCAGCGAAAUGCGAUACUUGGUGUGAAUUGCAGAAUCCCGUGAACCAUCGAGUCUUUGAACGCAAGUUGCGCCCGAAGCCAUUAGGCCGAGGGCACGCCUGCCUGGGCGUCACACGUCGUUGCCCCCCCAUCUACUCCUUCGGGAUUGCGGGGGGCGGAUGAUGGCCUCUCGUGCGCCUCGUCGCGCGGUUGGCCUAAAUGCCAAGUCCUCGGCGACGCACGCCACGACAAUCGGUGGUUGCGAAACCUCGGUUGCCUGUCGUGUGCGGUCGUCGCGCAUCGAGGGCUCGAAAAAAUUGCCGGGCUUCGGCUCGACUUUCAACGCGACCCCAGGUCAGGCGGGGUUACCCGCUGAAUUUAAGCAUAUCAAUAAGCGGAGGA
rnacentral:misc_RNA from 1 species